rnacentral:rRNA from 1 species
CCUACGGGUGGCAGCAGUGGGGAAUAUUGCACAAUGGGGGAAACACUGAUGCAGCGACGCCGCGUGAGUGAAGAAGUAAUUCGUUAUGUAAAGCCCUAUCAGCAGGGAAGAAAAUGACGGUACCUGAGUAAGAAGCACCGGCUAACUACGUGCCAGCAGCCGCGGUAAUACGUAGGGGGCAAGCGUUAUCCGGAUUUACUGGGUGUAAAGGGAGCGUAGACGGCAGUGCAAGUCUGGAGUGAAAGGCUGGGGCUCAAACCCCGGACCGCUCUGGAAACUGUACGGCUGGAGUGCAGGAGAGGUAAGUGGAAUGCCUGGUGUAGCGGUGAAAUGCGUAGAUAUUAGGAGGAACACCAGUGGCGAAGGCGGCUUACUGGACUGUAACUGACGUUGAGGCACGAAAGCGUGGGGAGCGAACAGGAUUAGAUACCCGAGUAGUC